UGAGUCGACCAGGCGGUCGCGUCGCCCCGGCCUCGUGCCGGGGCGCCGAGGAACGUCCGGGCUCCACAGGGCAGAGCGGUGGGUAACACCCACCCGGGGUGACCCGCGGGACAGUGCCACAGAAAGGAAACAGCCACCGGUGCGUGCACCGGCGGUCAUGGUGAAAGGGUGGUGUAAGAGACCACCAGCGCACCGGGUGACCGGUGCGGCUAGGUAAACCCCGCUCGGAGCAAGAUCAGACAGGAAGCGCUCGUAGGCUGCCCGCCGAGCUUCCGGGUGGAUCGCUCGAGGUGCGCGGCAACGCGCAUCCUAGAUGGAUGACCGUCACCGCGGCCCACUCCGCGAGGAGCGGGCCGAGGGACAGAACCCGGCGUAUCGGUCGACUCAUCCA
rnacentral:RNase_P_RNA from 1 species